ACGUAGGGGGCAAGCGUUGUUCGGAAUUACUGGGCGUAAAGCGCACGUAGGUGGCGACGUAAGUCGGGUGUGAAAGCCCCGGGCUCAACCUGGGAAUUGCAUUCGAGACUGCAUUGCUGGAGUACGGAAGAGGAAGGCGGAAUUCCCGGUGUAGCGGUGAAAUGCGUAGAUAUCGGGAGGAACAUCAGCGGCGAAGGCGGCCUUCUGGUCCAGUACUGACACUCAAGUGCGAAAGCGUGGGGAGCAAACAGGA
rnacentral:rRNA from 1 species